GUGAGCAAACGCAUGUGACUGGUGUGGAUCUGUCCUUUGAGAAAUGAACAGGUGCAAAUGAUGCCCUGGGGUAGUUCUUUUUAAUUUUUGAACAAUAAAGAUAACUCAUAUCAGCACGUACAUUUAAAAGGAAAAGCAAAGCUGGUAGCAGAGGGAUUUAAGCAGUUCAAAUAAAAAGCACUGAUGCUGUGAAUAAUGGACUCUCCUGCUUGACACAUAACUAGAUUGCAGUUCAAAGUGGAUGUCACAAACACUAUUGCACCAUCUGGAGCAAAAGCUUGACUAUCAUUUUGGGAUAAGCCUAUAAGAUUACAUGAAUUUAUAACUGACUUUAUUAUUGCCAUUGCACUAGUUUCAGUAUCUGUAAUGCAUUUUAUUUUUUUUUUGGUAGCAAACUUGCUGAUAUUUUUGCACAAAACCCCCAGAUUUUCAGAUCUCAGAUGAAAUCUGAUUUUUUUUCCUAUAAACAAGAUGUAAAUAGUCCCCUUGAGGACUAGAGAAAUACUGUGUGAAUUCUAGUUCUCUCUAAAAUUCUCUAUUUCCCUCUAUUUCCAUGAUUUCCAUUGUUACCUUUAAUAGUUUUUUUCAUUUCAAAACUUGUUUAGUAAAAAGUGUGAGAGAAAUAUUGCUCCUACACAUUAAAUAAAUAAAUAAACUUAGAUGUAAACUGAAAAGCUGUUGAGAAUAUGCCUUCAGAAGAAUAUGCAAUAUUCACAGUUCCUUGUAAGAUAUUCAACCAUAUGUUUGAAUGACAUCCUGCUGAUACAGUGAAAUAUACCUUCUUUUGAAGAACAACAGAUCUACUGAAUUGCAUUACUAUUUGAGAGUGUAUUCAUCCACAAAAUACUGUUUUUGCAAAUUUAGUGUAUUGCUAGAAUUAUAUUAAAACCUAGUUGUUUGGCAUGUCUGAAAGCACAGAUUUUGAGUGAGCUUGAACAAGUCUGACUUUCCUCAAAAGUCAACAAGACUUGUAAAUCCACAGCGUUUCUUACAGAAUAGCUUGAAGUUAGGUAGAGCUAUGAACAUGAGGUCAGUCUGGUGGUUUUGAAGUGUUUUGCAAAAGAUUGGAGAAAUAGUUUGGCACGGUGCAUUUGCACAGGGGAGAUUAGUUCAGAUUUCAAAUAUCAGUAUUUUCUAAAAUUAAGCAGUGGCUGAUAUGGACAUAGAGAUAGUGGCUGUCUCUAAUGCAAAACCUCCCUUCAUUUUCUCCUUCAGGAGUUGAUAGCCAGGUUUCAAGAAUCAUACAUGGAGAAAUGUGGAGGUGCUUUACUUCUGAAUGUGACUUCCUUUUGUAAAAUAUUUUUGAUUCAGAUUUUGAUUCAAUAUUUCAGAUUCCCUAGAGCAGAAAGGAAUGUCUCUUUAACAAGCUUUCACAAAACUUCAUCUUUCCUUCUUGAAGCUUUACUGUGACAUAAAUUGCAAAAAUCACAACUGCUUAGGUUGGAAGGGCCUCCUGAGACCACUUAUUUCUACCACCCUGCUCAAGCAUGGUCAGCCCAGGACUGUGUCCAGUCGAGUUUUGUAUAUAUCAAAGCAGGGAGAUUACACAGGCUCUCUGAGCAUCUGUGCUGGUGUUUGACCACCCUCACAGCAAAAAGCAUUUUCUUGUGUUCAGACUGAAUGUCCCAUUUUUUAAUUUGUGCCAAAUGCCUCUUGUUGUGUCAGCGAGUGCUAAGGAGGCUGGCUUUCUCCUCUUCAUUACAUCCCAUCAGCUAUUUAUACAGAUUGAUAAAUAAGGAGAGAGCCUUCUCUUCUUCAAGCUGAAAAGUUCAGCUUCUACUAAUAUGAGGGGUGCUCCAGCCCUUUAAUCAUUUUUGUGCCCUGUGCUGAACACACUCCGGUAAGUUCUUGCAUCAGUUGCACUAAUGGAAAUGGCGUUGCAGUUUAUUGACAUGGAGUAUUUAAUUAUGCUAGUGUAAGAAGGUUUAUGGUUUGACAGAGCGUAACUGGAACACUGCUUAGGAAUAGAGUUCAUUGUCAGGCUCUAGAUUUCUAUCAGGAUUUGUAUGAUUUGUAUUAUAAUUUGUAUAAUUUGUAUUUGAUAAUC